rnacentral:rRNA from 1 species
GUAGGUGGCAAGCGUUGUCCGGAAUUAUUGGGCGUAAAGCGCGCGCAGGCGGUUCUUUAAGUCUGAUGUGAAAGCCCACGGCUCAACCGUGGAGGGUCAUUGGAAACUGGAGAACUUGAGUACAGAAGAGGAAAGCGGAAUUCCACGUGUAGCGGUGAAAUGCGUAGAGAUGUGGAGGAACACCAGUGGCGAAGGCGGCUUUCUGGUCUGUAACUGACGCUGAGGCGCGAAAGCGUGGGGGAGCAAACAGGAUUAGAUACCCUGGUAGUCCACGCCGUAAACGAUGAGUGCUAAGUGUUAGGGGGUUUCCGCCCCUUAGUGCUGCAGCUAACGCAUUAAGCACUCCACCUGGGAGUACGGCCGCAAGGCUG